GGUGGACACAUUGAGGCACAGCCAUAAAACCGGUUCUGUUGUAUUCAAAAUGGAUCAUCAAUGGCUUAUAUCCAGAGAUCCCCAUCGUCUGUGUCAUCUGAGGAGGUAAAUUGAAGAGAUGCUGAUGGUACUACUCAGACAGGAUGUCUCAAAGACGGGAGACGAGGAAUAUAUACUUUCAUCUCACGCCAGACUUAUUAGGUCAUACCUCAAGAAGGACAUCAAGGCUUUUGGGAGCUUUUAUGGGACACGUUGGAGCAAUCAGGAGGGAAAUCCCUCAAGGUUUCU